rnacentral:lncRNA from 1 species
UUCUCGCCAAGACCAAUUUUUACACAUGGUCAAUUGUAUGUUGCGGUGUCAAGAGUACGAAGUCGAGGAGGACUUUGAUCACUUAUAUACAAUGUCUUAUUUUUAUUUUUACUUUUACUUAAAAUAUUAUUUAAGAAUGACGUUCGCCGUGCAACACACUGGUGGGUGUACAAGUUAGAAUUAUACAAUUGGACGAUAGGUAAUCAUAAAAUUUAAGUUAAAAUUGAAUCUAAAAUGACAUCGACGUGACCAAACUCUAAUCAAAACGAUGUCAUUU